rnacentral:lncRNA from 10 species
UCGACUCGUCGACUCCGGGCCCUCUGCCCCGCCCGCGUGCGCGCGCCGCUCCGCCUCCCGCCUCCAGCCUCUAGUCCGCUGGGUUCGGAGGAGCAGAGGCGGAAGGUCCCGGCGGCGGCGAGGAUGCGCCCCAGGGCGGGAGCGGGACGCUCCACUUUACCCUGGCUGCCCGCAACGGGCCAGGCCUGCCGUCUCUACCUCUCUACCUGUGAGUUUUUUCCCUGCAUUUACUUCAGUCUGCCGCGUCUUCUCCCCGCCCUUCUCUGUAAGGUAAAUAUGUGGAGGAAAUAAUUCCUAUUAAAGGUAAAGGAAAGGAGAGCAAUUUGAAUGAAGAAACAGGUAGUUGCUAUCGUCGUUUUCAGCCAAAGCCCUCUGGCUGCUAGAGAGUAUACAUGGUUCUCUGGUGUCAAGGCCUGUUUUCCAUAAGCUUUCUGGAUUCUCAGCUUAGUUCCCUCAAAGUGAUCUCUGCAAGUCGGCUCUUCGGUCAGAAGACCUCCUCCAAAAACAGAAAGCCCAAAGAUUCCCUAACUCGAUUGAAAAGAUAGGAAGAUACGAAGAAAAACUAACCUAAAGAAUUGUGUGGUUUAUCUGCAAAGAGUUCUAGACUAAAAGCCAACAAUGCAAAGAUAGUAUGAGUUAAUAUGUUUGUUGUGGCUCUCUUCUGCCAUUCCCGCUUCCUCAAGGUAAUGUGCCCCGAUGCCUGGUAGAACUGUUUUGUAGAGGCAGCCAAUAGUGAUCCAGUUAUUGUCUUUACUGGUCAGACCACCUCUGAAGUGCUGUGUUCAGCAUUUGAAGACUUUAAUCAAGCUGGCAUUAUAUCAGGGAAGAGCAAAAUGAUGACGAGAACUCAAAAACAGGGCAAGUGAAGAAGGAUUGAUUAAACCUUCCAGGACUCACCUAGAAGAGAGAAAACUACUGGACUCUCUCCAAAUAUGAAAUGACCUAUCAUGUGAAGUUGAUUUGUUUCAUGUGAUGCAAACUUCAGGGAACAGAUUUAAGAUCCUGAAAAGAAGAUGCCCUUGUAGCACGACCCAAAGAAUUGCCUACCUUAGCAUGUGUGAAUACCUCAACCACAGAAUUUUGCUUCAAGGAGAUUCUGAAGCUCACUUAAUAGGGACUUGGUACAGGGGAGCCACACAUCAACAGAAUAAUUAGUUGAUGGUUUUGUUAAAGAUAUUUCCAGUCUUGAGAUUACAUGUGUCUUUGGUCCUGGACUUCAUAGAGUUUACAAGUUAGUUCAUGAGACAAGACAAAUGCAUCACAAAAAUAAAUAAUGCAAGGAGGCCAAGUGAUAAUGAGAGGUGCUGAUAAGUGCUAGGAAUUCACAUGACAGAUUAUUCCCAUCACAGUUCCAGAGGCUUAAGGGAGAAGAGAGGAACUGAAAAUAGACUACCUAGAACUGCCCUAUCCAUUGGGGUAGCCACCAGUUAAAUACGUCUCUUGACAUUUGAAAUGUGGCUUGUCCAAACUGAGACAUGCAAUGAGUCCAAAAUGUACACCAGAUUUCAAAGACUUAGAAAACAAAUGUAAAAUAUUGUAAUUCUUAUGUCGAUUACAUGUUGAAAUAAUAUAUAAUGGAUCAAAUAAAAUAUGUUAAAAUUAAUUUCAACUUUAUUUUUACUUUUUAUGUGACUUCUAGAAAAUUUUUAAUUACAUAGGUGGCUUGCAUCAUAUUUGUAUUACAUAGUCCUGGCCUGGAAGGAAAUUCAGUUAGCCCUCUGUAUCCAUGGCUUCUGUAUAUGUGUCAACCAACUUUGGAACAAAAACAAUUGAAAAAAAAAAAAAAAAAGAAUGGUAAUGUCUGCAUUGAACACGCACAGACUCUUUUUUUCUUGUCAUUAUUUCCUUAACAAUAUGGAUGUAACAACUGUUUACAUAGCAUUUCC